CCUACGGGUGGCAGCAGUGAGGAAUAUUGGUCAAUGGGCGGAAGCCUGAACCAGCCAAGUCGCGUGAGGGACUAAGGCCCUACGGGUCGUAAACCUCUUUUGCCGGGGAUCAGAGCCCAGCUCGCAAGCUGCUAGGGAGCGUCCCCGUACAAAAAGCAUCGCCAAACUCGGUUCCAGCGGCCGCGGUAGUACGGAGGAUGCGAGCGUUUUCCGGAUUGCUUGGAUGAAAGGGGUGCGUAGGCGGGCCUUAAGGCCGGCGGUAAAGUUGCGGGGCUCAACCCCGCCGAGCCGUCGGAACCGGGUGCCUUGAGUACAGGAGAAGUAAGCGGAAUGCGUGGUGUAGCGGUGAAAUGCAUAGAUAUCACGCAGAACCCCGAUUGCGAAGGCAGCCUGCCGGAGUGCAACUGACGCUGAGGCUCGAAGGUGCGGGUAUCAAACAGGAUUAGAUACCCUGGUAGUC
rnacentral:rRNA from 1 species